rnacentral:rRNA from 1 species
CCUAACUCAUGCUAGUYGAACGAAACCUUCGGGUUUAGUGGCGGACGGGUGAGUAACGCGUGGGAACAUACCCUUUGGUACGGAAUAGCCUCGGGAAACUGGGAGUAAUACCGUAUGUGCCCUUCGGGGGAAAGAUUUAUCGCCAAAGGAUUGGCCCGCGUUGGAUUAGGUAGUUGGUGGGGUAAUGGCCUACCAAGCCGACGAUCCAUAGCUGGUUUGAGAGGAUGAUCAGCCACACUGGGACUGAGACACGGCCCAGACUUUUACGGGAGGCAGCAGUGGGGAAUCUUAGACAAUGGGCGCAAGCCUGAUCUAGCCAUGCCGCGUGAUCGAUGAAGGCCUUAGGGUUGUAAAGAUCUUUCAGAUGGGAAGAUAAUGACGGUACCAUCAGAAGAAGCCCCGGCUAACUCCGUGCCAGCAGCCGCGGUAAUAC